CAGGCGUAGCUGUCUCAGCUGAGCGACUCCAGAGUCAUGGACAAAGCCAGACCUGCAGCAAACGAGGAUUACUGGCUCAGGAAAGGUGUAACCAGCAGAGGAACGAUAGAGUCCAACAGUGACAGCAAAAAGCAGCCCUUGCUCCUUGCCCAUGCAAGCAGCAUGCAUUCAGCAGGCACCAAGGACACGCAGCCAUGGCUCCCUGUCCAGGAAUGCCUCAAGAGCCGGAGAGAUGAAAGGCUCUUGCCAUUCAAUAUUCCAACUCUUGACUCAAGUGCAAAGGGCUCCAUCUGCUCAAACCUCAGUUUGAAGUUUCGCUGCGAAUGAGACGGCUGAUUUAGCCUCGCCCUAAUUCAGGAACCAGAAGAUCCGUGGUAGCUGAAUGAAAUGGAUUUCUUACCCAAACAGGUUCAACUUGACAAUUAAUGGUGUUUCUCUGCUACCAGAAAAAUUCUGCCCUGUUUAUACAGAACACAAUCACUCUUCCAAGAAGAAACUGAACUCAAAUAAUACUGUGCUCAAGACUGCAUGGACAGUU